AUUGAACGCUGGCGGCAAGCCUAACACAUGCAAGUAGAACGAGUGGCGGACGGGUGAGUAAUGUCUGGGAAACUGGCUGAUGGAGGGGGAUAACUACUGGAAACCGUAGCUAAUACCGCAUACCAUCGGAUGUGCCCAGAUGGGAUUAGCUAGUAGGUGGGGUAAUGGCUCACCGAGGCGACGAUCCCUAGCUGGUCUGAGAGGAUGACCAGCACCACUGGAACUGAGACCCGGUCCAGGUUCCUACGGGAGGUAGCAGUGGGGAAUAUUGCACAAGGGGGGCAAGCCUGAUGCAUCCAUGCCGCGUGUAUGAAGAAGGCCGUCGGGUUGUACAGUACUUUCAGCGGAGAGGCGUUACCCGCAGAAGAAGCACCGGCUAACUCCGUGCCAGCCGCCGCGGUAAUUC
rnacentral:rRNA from 1 species